rnacentral:rRNA from 1 species
AAUCAACGCUGGCGGCGUGCCUCAGACAUGCAAGUCGAACGAUUAAAGCUCUCUUCGGAGAGUGUAUAGAGUGGCGCACAGGUGAGUAACACGUAAGUAAUCUACCUUCGAGUGGGGAUAACGUCCGGAACGGACGCUAAUACCGCAUAAUGCAGCGGCAUCGCAAGAUGACAGUUGUUAAAGAUUUAUCGCUUGAAGAGGAGCUUGCGGCAGAUUAGCUAGUUGGUAAGGUAAUGGCUUACCAAGGCUACGAUCUGUAACCGGUCUAAGAGGACGGUCGGUCACACUGACACUGAAUAACGGGUCAGACUCCUACGGGAGGCAGCAGUCGGGGAAUUUUGGGCAAUGGGCGAAAGCCUGACCCAGCAACGCCGCGUGAAGGAUGAAGUAUUUCGGUAU